rnacentral:rRNA from 1 species
AUUGCCUUAGUAACGGCGAGUGAAGCGGCAACAGCUCAAAUUUGAAAUCUGGCUUCGGCCCGAGUUGUAAUUUGUAGAGGAUGCCUUGGUGGGUGCUCUUGUCUGAGUUCCCUGGAACAGGACGUCUUAAAGGGUGAGAAUCCCGUAAAGAGUUGGACACCAAGCCUAUGUAAGGCUCUUUCCAAGAAUCGAGUAGUUUGGGAAUGCAGCUCUAAAUGGGUGGUAAAUUCCAUCUAAAGCUAAAUAUUGGCGAGAGACCGAUAGCGAACAAGUACAGUGAUGAAAGAUGAAAAGCACUUUGAAAAGAAAGUGAAAAAGUACGUGGAAUUGUUGAAAGGGAAGCGUUUGAGACCAGACUCGUGCCCUGUGAAUCACCUUGCCUUCUGGCGGGGCACUUCGCAGCUUAUCGGGCCAGCAUCGGUUCUCGCAGGGGGAUAAUGGCUUCAGGAAUGUGACUUUCUUCGGGAAGUGUUAUAGCCUGUUGCAGAAUCUCCUGCCGGGGAACCGAGGUUCGCGCAUCUGCAAGGAUGCUGGCCGUAAUGGUCCCCAAACCGCCCGUCUUGAAACACGGA